rnacentral:SRP_RNA from 1 species
ACCGGGCGCGGUGGCUCACGCCUGUAAUCCCAGCACUUUGGGAGGCUGAGGCGGGUGGAUCACAAGGUCAGGAGAUCGAGACCAUCCUGGCUAACACAGUGAAACCCCGGGUUUCACUGUGUUAGCCAGGAUGGUCUCGAUCUCCUGACCUCGUGAUCCACCCGCCUCGG